GCCUGGGUUGGCUGAGUCAGUGAAGCACGUGACUCUUAAUCUCAAGGUCGUGAGUUCGAGCCCCACAUUGGGUG
rnacentral:tRNA from 1 species